AUUCCCCUCCUUGCGCUGCAAGCCGGGUGGGAAUAGAACACCUGCAGCCCUCCCCGGCGCCCUGCGAAUGAGGUGGGAGUGGGAACGCCAUCAGGGCAGAGCCCCUCCAGCUGGCUGGGGUCUGCACCUCCUCGCCAGCCCGGCCACCUCAAAACGGUGCUUGCCUCCCUGCGGGGGUGUAGAAGCCUCUUGGAGCAGCACUUGUAGAAAAUCAAGUCCCUGGAAAGAAGCAAAAUUAAUCCGUUUGUUUCUCUAUUUAUUUUUGCUUCCCCACACCAGGUAUUCACUUCAUCCAAGGCUGCCCAAUGUCACCUUCCACCCAGAGGAAUCUCCCCUCUCCACCCCAGGCCAACAGCCUCUGCCUUCAGCUGUGGCCUCCACUCUGGCAUUACUCUGGGCAGAGGGCUCAGGAGGGCUCAAGGAGGACCAGUGACAUUCAGAGUGGCCAGAGUAAAGGGAGGGAGGGGGAGUGGUGGGAGAGGCGUGCAGAAGGCACAGGUGAGGUGGCGGAGGGGGGCAGGUGGUGGGGGGAGCGGGCUGGGGUGGGAUGGGCCUGUCAGCAUAGCAAGGGCUGUGAUGGGCUUGAGUCUGACAGGGGGCAAUGACCUGACCUACGGUUUUGUAAGAUCACUCUGGCUGCCACCUGGAGAGCUGGUGUGGGGAUGAUGGCCAUGGUAGACACAAGGGGAGCAGUUAGGAGACCACCACAAGUGACCAUGCGGCCCAGGCGAGUAGGGUAGCAACAGAGAUGGGGAGAGGAGGUCAGAUUUGUGAUCUGUAUCUGAAGGUGGAAUGGACAGGAAUUGCUGAUGAGCUUGGGUGUGGUGCAUGAGGGAAAGAGAGAAAUAAGCAUCAUUCUUAGGAUUUGUCCUGAGCAACUGGAAGAAAAAGAAUGACAGUGGCUAAUACGGUUAGCCAGGCGCUCCUCUAAACCCUUCACAUAGUUUAACCUGUCUAGAUUUCAUAACACUCCUAUGAAUUAGGAAUUAGUUCUUCCCACAUUUUACAGAAGAGGCAAUCGAGGCCCAGAGAGUUGAAUCAGUUUGCAUAAAGUCCCACCAUUAGCAAAUGGAAAAGCUGGAAUUUGGACCCAGCACUUCACCACUGCACACUUCCCCGGCUUUACAGAAAGAGAAAUGCCGUGAACUGAGCUAGAUGAGCCCGGGGGAGGAAUGGGGUUUUUCCGUGGGGGUGUGAAUCAAGAGUUCUAGUUGGAAUGAAUUCAGGCUGAGGUGCCUUUUAAACAUCCAAGUAGAGAUAUUUAGCUCAGCAGAUGGAUGUAUGACUCAGGCCCUGGGUGGCAAGGAGGAGCAUCUGGGGCUGGCGUGUUAAGCAUGGAGAGGAGACAGGAGAAGAGGGCAGAAGGCUGGGAAGUGGGAUUAAAUGCUGCAUGUGAACGGAUGAGGACAGAAAUGGAUACUUUAGAGCAUCCUGUCAAGCCUUGGGGUGUCGGGUGAUGAGUGUGUUUAGGAAAUAUUAUUCUAGAGCAGUGCUUGUUUUUGUUUGAGGAUUCAAUAAAGGCUGUCACCUUGUUCCAGAAAAAGUACAUGAACACACACGCAACAUUUUGCAUACAAUUUCAGGGUGUCCGUGGGUCCCCAGAGGACAUGCAUGGGCCAUUCUAUUUCUAUCAAACCUUACUUCAUCCACCAGCCACAAUCAAAUUUCACUGUAUCUCUCAAGUCCUGACCAGACCUCUGAUGCAGUCACCCCACCCUCUCUGUCUGCAUGAGAUAGGAGCUGCACUCCUCUGAAUCGAGACGGUUUUGAAUUGAGACGGUUUUGAAUGUCUAUGUAGAAUGCAGCUCGCCCUGCAGGUAUUGCCUGUGUACAUGUCUCAUUUGGAAAUGGUUCCCCUGAGGAAUGAGAGGAUGAACCCACAGAGUCUUUUGCUCUCUUAUUCACCUGGGAGGUGAUGUUAUUCAUCUAUUUCCUAGAUUUAUUUGUUUUUUUGGUGUUUUUUGUUUUUGUUUUCGUUUUGAGAUGGACUCUUUCUCUGUCGCCCAGGCUGGAAUGCAAUGGCGUGAUCUCAACUCACUGCAACCUCUGCCUCCCGGGUUCAAGCGAUUCUCCUGCCUCAGCCUUCUGAGUAGCUGGGAUUACAGGUGUGCACCACCACACCUGGCUAAUUUUUGUAUUUUUAGUGGAGACCGGGUUUCACCAUGUUGGCCAGCCUGGUCUCGAACUCCUGACCUCAAGUGAUCCACCCUCCUCAGCCCCCUAUAGUGCUGGGAUUACAGGCAUGAGCCACCAUGCCUGGCCUUAUUUCCUAGGUUUAAAGACAAAACUAGCUCGUUCUAUUGUUUCCAUCGACACAAUUGCUUCCCCAAUAUAUAAUGGGCAUUUGUUGCUAUUGUUCUGUUUGUUUUGGCGGUCCAGCUUCCAGCAUCCAUUCUAUUUGGGAGGAUUCCCCGGUGACUCUUGGCAGGAAUCCAUCAGCCCCUCUGGAAAUGGAAGGAAUGGAAGGAACCAGGUGUCCCUCUUGUCCCCCACCCCUGCAGAGGUCACAGCCUUCCUAUCCUGCCCAGCCCAGUGGGGCUUUGAAGGCUAGGGUGCAGGAACAGAAGAGAACUUAUUUUUGGCCAUGGCAGCUAGGCCAGGAGACCAUCUGUGAGAGUAGCAUCCUGUGUCCUGUGGCAGCAGUCCCGGCCACGGUAUCCUCACCACAGCCUGGCCACAGCUUGGCCUCGCCUGCAUCUCCUGCUGCCAGCCGCCUUGAUACCUGCCCAUUUUCCCCAUGCGGUUCUCCAGCCUUCCGACUGAUAAGUUCUGCACAUAUUUCCCCAUGUCCAUUGCCUGCACGAGUCAGCCAGGUCAGCUCUGUCGCUUCCACCAAGACCUCUCACUGCAGUGGCUGUGCUGAGCUUGCAGCUGACGUCUGCUCUACAGUGUCAGCACUUGGGAUUCUUCUUCUGUUGGGGGUCCCUGAAGGUGGGAUUCCUGGCCUGUCGAAGCAUUGCUGUGUGACACAUGCCAGAUCCUUGCGGUUGCCUGUGAAGCUCGGAGCCCUCCAUAUCGAGGGAGGAAGGCUUUCCUUCCAGCAAAGUCUUGUGGCUUUCAGCGAGAGCGACUAUGCAGCAGCCAGACCAACUACAGAGGUCACAACAACAACCCCUGUCCCGAUGACAAUCCUGUGAUUUUCCUGGCUCAAAAUGAAGUUUGACAAGUCUUGUUUUAUACUCUUGUCAUCACUGGGAUUUCUUCUGACUUUACAAGACCAACAGGAAUUGGAGUCAGACUCACAGGGGAGCCUGAGAGCCUCUCUAUCCCACACCGCUGUGGGAGCCACGCCCAGGUGGGGCCAGGGCUGCAGAGGGGGAAGCUGGGAAUGGCUGGGCAAGGAUAGAGGCAGCUCAGCUUCCCCUAAGCCUGGGGUGGCCUGAGGGGCCCCCUGCACUAUGCUGGAACGUACCUUCCUUUCCAAGGAAGGAAAACAGCAGCUUCUGACUCAUGACUGUGUCCUCCUGCAGACAAGUACACA
rnacentral:lncRNA from 1 species